CACGUCUCCCGUGCUUCGUAAGGGGCGCAAAUGUAUUCGAUGUUGCUGCUGCGGCCUGCAGCGAAAAAUUUUCCUGAGGAGCUCGCACAUUGGGAGUUCUCAGAGGAUGCAUACGCACUUACAAAUGUGAUAACUUAUGGAAAAGCCUCUUCAUGUCAUGCCUAAGGGCUGGCACGUUUAGAACGCAUUCUGUACCAGCGAUGAGACAUCGGCAGUACAAGCGACAAACAGCUACACCUGUGCAUGGUCAGUUCUGCGUUUGGGUUCCAAAUAGGGAACAAGCACGACCACAGUAUUGCUACCAGGUACAAGAUUUCACCAUGCCGCUCCCUAAGCAGUUGGAAGAGUUGCACAUGACAUGCAACGUGAACCAUAGCCGCGAAGCACUGGCCUUGGCAGUCCACGUGCUCAUGACUGAAGUUGGAUUUGAGCUAGAAGGCUGGCAAGAAACAUUGGCUGAUGGGAGUGCAAAGGACCACCCUGCCACUGAAAAGUUCUUUUGGGAAAGGAGUGACUACCUGAUGAAAAUUGGCUACAGACAUCCUACUUGCCCUACAGUGUCCUUCAGUGUGGCAUUUGUUCUGUUUCAACCAAAUAUCAUUGUUCAUGGGCUAGCCACACACGAAGGUAACACGGAAGGCUUCUCACUUAGCUUGAGACUUUCAGACUUCAUCCAGAGGGCAUUUCUGUCAGAUCCAGAGCCGAACAAAGUGUACAAAAAUCUUCCCACAUUGUCACGACUUGUCAAGGAUUCUGUGGCACUUCCACUUCUUGGAUGGGCCCAGAGUGUCACGAAUGUUGCUCCCACUUUUGGAUUCAUGACUUUGAGCUCUGAGAUCCAGCUUCUUAUUUUGGGUUACCUGAAUGUGCGAGACUUGCUGGCUGCUUCUGGAGUAAACACAGAUUUAUUUGAACUGGCAUCUAAUCCUGUGCUUUGGCGAAAGCUGUUUUUAAAGAACUUUCCCUCUGUGGAAGUGUCGCCUACUGACAAUGUUUCCAACUGGAGAGAGAAAUACAAGCAGGAGUACUUACUGCGAAAGGAGCAACAGGAGAAUGCUCUGCAGAUGCUGCCACAUAUGCGCCUAGUAAUGCCGAGCGCCCUCCGAAACGCACACCGUCCCUUUCUGCUGCCCCCAGUGCCCCAGAGUAGUGAUGACGACUUCGACUUCGACAUGUUCAUGCCGCAUGUUCCAAGACAGCAACUUCCUUAGUGGCACAAGAGGGAGGGGAGAAAAAUGAAUACGGUCAUAAUCACCUCAGCUGCCAGCUGCAAUGACUUGUGAGAUAAGCAUGUUCCUGAAUGUGACAAGUUUCUUUGAUUUUAAGAUUGGCCGGCUGCAUUCUUCUUAUGACCUUGUCACACUCAUCGUGGUUUCUUAAGUCCCGAGAUUUAAACCUGCCGGACUCCUUGCUGGAUCAUCGCUGAGAAGAAAAUAAAAAAACUGCACCACAC